UACGUAAGGUGCAAGCGUUGUCCGGAUUUAUUGGGCGUAAAGAGCUCGUAGGCGGUUUGUCGCGUCUGCUGUGAAAACUCGGGGCUCAACCUCGGGCUUGCAGUGGGUACGGGCAGACUGGAGUGCGGUAGGGGAGACUGGAAUUCCUGGUGUAGCGGUGAAAUGCGCAGAUAUCAGGAGGAACACCGGUGGCGAAGGCGGGUCUCUGGGCCGUAACUGACGCUGAGGAGCGAAAGCGUGGGGAGCGAACAGG
rnacentral:rRNA from 1 species